rnacentral:rRNA from 1 species
AGUGAACGCUGGCGGUAGGCCUAACACAUGCAAGUCGAACGGCAGCACAGGAGAGCUUGCUCUCUGGGUGGCGAGUGGCGGACGGGUGAGGAAUACAUCGGAAUCUACUUUUUCGUGGGGGAUAACGUAGGGAAACUCACGCUAAUACCGCAUACGACCUACGGGUGAAAGCAGGGGAUCUUCGGACCUUGCGCGAUUGAAUGAGCCGGUGUCGGAUUAGCUAGUUGGCGGGGUAAAGGCCCACCAAGGCGACGAUCCGUAGCUGGUCUGAGAGGAUGAUCAGCCACACUGGAACUGAGACACGGUCCAGACUCCUACGGGAGGCAGCAGUGGGGAAUAUUGGACAAUGGGCGCAAGCCUGAUCCAGCCAUACCGCGUGGGUGAAGAAGGCCUUCGGGUUGUAAAGCCCUUUUGUUGGGAAAGAAAUCCAGCUGGUUAAUACCCGGUUGGGAUGACGGUACCCAAAGAAUAAGCACCGGCUAACUUCGUGCCAGCAGCCGCCGUAA